ACGGGUGAGUAACACGUGAGCAACCUGCCCUUCACUUGGGGAUAACUAUCGGAAACGGUGGCUAAUACCCGAUAUGACACAUCGCCGCAUGGUGGGUGUGUGGAAAGUUUUUCGGUGGGGGAUGGGCUCGCGGCCUAUCAGCUUGUUGGUGGGGUAAUGGCCUACCAAGGCGACGACGGGUAGCCGGCCUGAGAGGGCGACCGGCCACACUGGGACUGAGACACGGCCCAGACUCCUACGGGAGGCAGCAGUGGGGAAUAUUGCGCAAUGGGCGAAAGCCUGACGCAGCGACGCCGCGUGAGGGAUGACGGCCUUCGGGUUGUAAACCUCUUUCAGCAGGGACGAAGCGCAAGUGACGGUACCUGCAGAAGAAGCACCGGCCAACUACGUGCCAGCAGCCGCGGUAAGACGUAGGGUGCAAGCGUUGUCCGGAUUUAUUGGGCGUAAAGAGCUCGUAGGCGGCUCGUCGCGUCGACCGUGAAAACCUACCGCUUAACGGUGGGCUUGCGGUCGAUACGGGCGGGCUAGAGUUCGGUAGGGGAGACUGGAAUUCCUGGUGUAGCGGUGAAAUGCGCAGA
rnacentral:rRNA from 1 species